AGCGAACGCUGGCGGCAGGCCUAACACAUGCAAGUCGAACGGACCCUUCGGGGUUAGUGGCGGACGGGUGAGUAACACGUGGGAACGUGCCUUUUGGUUCGGAAUAGCUCCUGGAAACGGGUGGUAAUGCCGAAUGUGCCCUUUGGGGGAAAGAUUUAUCGCCAUUAGAGCGGCCCGCGUCUGAUUAGCUAGUUGGUGAGGUAAAGGCUCACCAAGGCGACGAUCAGUAGCUGGUCUGAGAGGAUGACCAGCCACAUUGGGACUGAGACACGGCCCAAACUCCUACGGGAGGCAGCAGUGGGGAAUCUUGCGCAAUGGGCGAAAGCCUGACGCAGCCAUGCCGCGUGAAUGAUGAAGGUCUUAGGAUUGUAAAAUUCUUUCACCGGGGACGAUAAUGACGGUACCCGGAGAAGAAGCCCCGGCUAACUUCGUGUCAGCCGCCGCAGUAAAAC
rnacentral:rRNA from 1 species